rnacentral:tRNA from 2 species
UCCCUGGUGGCUCAGAGGUUAAAGCGUCUGCCUCCAAUGCAGGAGACCCAGGUUCGAUCCCUGGGUGGGGAA